AAAGAUUUCUCAUCAAUUUCAUCUGUCCAACAAUCUCUCCAGCGACUGGAACAUUCAUAUCCAUGGGUUGGAAGCAACAUCGUAUCCUAUUAAUAGAUCUGAAGCCUCUAUGUUCACUUUUCUUCUCGCCAAUCCUGAAUUUUGCUACUGUAAAGGAAGGUCCCAAAAUUUGAAUCUAACAUCACUUGCACCCGCCAAACAAUAAAAUAAGAAGACAUGUUCCAGAAAUCCACUUCAGUUUGAAAUAAAAUACUGUACAUUCUAUCCCUUGUAUAUUAGCAGUCAUCCACUUGAAUAGACACCAGAAAGAACAUACUCCGCUGUCAGAAGCAUACCAACAAACAGGUAGAGGCCGCCAAGGCGCCAACACGCAAGAACAUAUAACAUUCGUGGAUUAUGUGAAUGAAGCAGUAAACCAAACAGAGCAAAAACUAAUAUAAAUAUGCAAAUGGUCAAAAUGAGCAGAUUAUACAAGAACAAAGGGAACCUUAAACUUCUGAUUUCCUCUCCGUAUACUAAUAAAAAAUCUGUAAGAUUAUGAGCUAAAAGCUUGACAUGAUGAUUUAAACUCAUAACCAAAUUUGUACACAACAUUUUCUUUUUCAAGGAACAUAAGAAAAGGAAUCAUACAAACUAGUCUGUAGCCGGGAAUUUCAAUCAGUAAUGGAGAUGCAUGCCAUCAGUCUAUCUAGUCUAGAUUAAAACAAGCUAGUAGUCAAAAUAAACCAUCCCAGGAAGCCAGAAGUCACUAAAGAUUGUUUUUUGGGGACAAAACCUACUCUUUCCGGUCACCUAAAUAUACAGUUUCAUUUAUUGAGAAAUCGAACCUUUUUUUUUGAACCAUCAAAGACAGUAGGAAAGAUUCGUACAAUCCUACUGACAUGUAUUAACUCAUGAAUAACAAUUUACAAUUAAAUGCUGGAGUCUCAGCCUAUUCCUUCUCUCCCCAUGACUGAGGAAAAGGUUAUAGAGUAACCGCAAAGAGAAGGAGCUCUAAACUAGAGAGUUUACAAAAGAGUUUAUAAAGGGCCCUAGGGUAGGUUUGGUUCUGUGAAAUGGUACUAAUACUCCACCCCACCCCCCACCCCCCCUCUCAAUCAUGCACUGUAUCAAGCUUUUUAAGACAUUACGCGUGUGGUAUAUGACAAUGCUGAACACUCUUCCUCCCGUAAUCAAUGGAGGAUGGAAACAAUAGCAUUUUCUUACUAUAAGGAGAUGGGCGCAAAGUAAUAUGAAUGUAUAACCAUAGUCAUAAACUAUGAAUUGACAUCUACAUGUCGAGUAAAGUUAAAUUAGAAAUGACACUAUUUAUGAACAAAAACAAGAAAAAACUCUGACUAAGCACAUACAAGUGGGGAAAAGAAAAUAUGACAGUCUGAGUACUAAGCUUGUCGGAGAGCUAUGCCCAAAACGCCAUACAUUCAGGGACGAGAUCAAAAUAGUAUACAAAAUGCUUCAGCUCUGCAUUUGGGGACGUAAUCCAUCCAAAUUCAGGAAACUACUCCCUCCGUUCCAAAUUACUCGUCGCAGAAAUGGAUGUAUCUAGAACUAAAAUACAUCUAGAUACAUCCAUUUCUGCGACGAGUAAUUCGGAACGGAGGGAGUAUAUUUCUUAUAGAAUCUAACUUAAUUCAAGCAGAUAUUACAGUUAUUUCCCACUCCUGAAAAUCAAAACUGAACUCUGGGAUCAGAAUUCAUGUUAUCUAAAUAUUACAGUUUGGACAGGACAAUUGUAGAACCUUCAGCCUAUUUUUUUUUCUUCGGUUGUGGAGCUAUCAAUAUAUAUUUUGGAGGCAAUGCUAUCCCUGUACUAACGAGAGCAAACUCGAAAACGGAAGAGCGCUACUGAAUCCCCAAUUUGCUGGAACUACCAAAGGCACUAGUUCUGAACGCCAAUUAAAUAGCUGCAUAGUCCAGCCAGCUAGACUAGGAGCUACAGAGUAGCCAGCAGGUAGCCUCGUACUAUCGUCAGAUCAAGUUAAUUUUGUGGCGCACAUGAACAUCUCCUGAAGCGGCUGAUGCAAUCAAAUUUGGGACUAUUAAAAUGAAGAGGAAUCGAGCCACACUCCUAACCAAUCCGAAUACCAAUGGUUCUUGUUUUUCUUCAGGCCACCAUCAAACAGGCCAUAGAUGAGGUGCCCUGUUUGAUGGUUCAAUAAAUGACUGUCUAUGAAUAAAACCAAUAAGAUAUCUGACUAAGCACAUACAAACUACGCAAAAGAAAUUAUGACAGCCAGAGUACUAAGCUUGUGCGAUAGCUAUGCCCAAAACAAAUAUAUUUGAGGACGAGACCGAAAUAAAAUACAUAAUGUUUCAGCUCUGCACUUGGGGACACAAUCCAUCCAAGUUUAGCUAACAUAUUUUCUUACUGAAUCUAACUUAAUUCAAGCAGAUACUUGGCAUGGGAGAGUAAACUACACAUACAUGACGGAGAGGGGGCGAUACUGAAGAACUCCGAUGGUGAACACCUAGUUGCUGACCGUUGUUGUGGGAGUAGAUGCAGCCCGCAUCAAACAGAAUGCCAACCACCACCGUACCCUAACAAUGAUUGCCAGUGAUGUUAAAAUAUUAUACAAGAACAGAACUUCUAUAUGAAAACAGUAAAUAAACACAUAAUUCGAGCAGAUAUAUUGGAUGGGAGAAUAAGACACAUACUCAUAAAUUGAUGGAGAGGGGGCGAUACUGAUUGUAUUACUAUGGUCAUAGCAAGUGAUAAGUAAAAGUGCACUAGGAUUUCCUUUUUGAAGUUAUUACUUCAUACAAUUUCUUAUUUAUCCAGUAAUCUAUGCGGAGACUGUUCGAGCUAACUCAGCAUUUCCUUAAUCCAAUUAUAGAUGACCUGGUAGCCCUUCAUAAAUUUUCAUGUUGUGAAGAAAGUUUCAAGUAGCUAAUUCAAUAUUUACACAGAGACAUCAGGCUAGCUGAAACCAAAACAAAGUGAACACGGUGAUGGUCAUAAGACUACUUGAUUAUUAUUUUUCUCCACGCCUUAAAUCCGAACUGAACUCUUAGAUCACGAUUCAUUUCAUCUAAAUAUUACAGUUUGAACAGGACAAUGGUGGAACUUUGAGCAAACAAUUUUUUUUCAUUGGUUUGUAAAGUUAUCACUCUAUAUUUUGGAGGCAAAGCUAUCCCUGUACUAAGGAGAGCAAACUCGAAUACAGAAAAACACCCAUAAGCUUUAUACUGAAUCCCCGAUUUGUUGGAACAACGGAAGACAAUAGUUCCGAAUUCCAAUUAGGUAGCUGCAUAGUACAGCCUGCUACACUAGGAGCUAGGGAGUAUGCCUACUCGUACUAUCUUAAGAUCAAGCUAAUUUUGUGGCGCACCAUGGCCAUCUCCUGAAGCGGCUGAUGCAAACCAAAAUUUGGGACUAAUAAACCGAAGAGCAUUCGAACAACACUCCUAACAAUUCGGAAUACCAAUGGUUCUGGUUUUGCUUCAGGGUUCAGGCUAUCAUCAAACAGAGCACCUCAUAUACCGCAUGUUUGGCAAAUGAUGGGGAGAGCAAUAGGAGAUUAAAGGAGGGAGUUAGAAGGCCCCCCUGGGUCUGUGUACCCCCGCCUCAGCAACCUGAUAUUUAAUCAACAACCCAACCUGAACUUGAGUGAGAAAACAUUCUCCUAGAUCCUGAAUAUACAGUAGAUGUUUCCUUACUGGGAACAACCUUAUACAAGAAAGCACAGCCAAAGCAUGAACCUAGCAAGUAAGUAAAUAUCUAAGGUAGUCAGAUAUGAUUGCAAUUCUUUAUCGCUUCACUGAUGAGGCUUGGUGCACACUUCUCUUCCUAUAUAAUAUGCUAAUUAAUCUAAAUGGCAGUAGCAAAGUGACUAAUAAGAAGAUACAGAGAAGCAUCGAGAGAGAGAGAACCUGGGGACGGCUUUGGGUGGCAGCUAUGCGACAGAGGCCAUGGAACCUGUGUUGCUGCUGCUACCUUGCAUGAUUGCAUCUUAGAUGGAGGAGGGCAAUAGUCAGCUCGCUGGAGAGUUCACAGAGACGGCCUCGGCUUUGUCCGGGCCCCGGAGCAGUUGUGACGGAGGGGUCGCAAGCCUUGCUCCCAUCAGAACCCCUCCUUAUGCCGCCGUGCGCGACGAAGAGAAGAGGAGCGUGGAGUGGAGGCAGGGGCCGCCGCCGCCGUGGGGACGAGAGUCCAGCGGCGAAAAUAGGGGAGCGCGGGUGCGGGUUAUGGAGAAGGAGGUCGGGCCAUGGUCCUCGUCCAUCGCCACAGGCAAGGAAGGGAGAGGGGGAUGGAGGCGGGUCGCCACACUGUCGCCGCCGAAGAGGCCGCCACCCACCGUGAAGCCUCUUGCAGCACCGGCCGCUCGCCUCGGUGCUGCCUCCGGCAAACGGGGCACCACCAGUGCCACACGCAUCCGUGUCCAGCGGCAGCUCGCCGUCGAAACCUCCCGCCGCUCGCCUCCGAAAAACUGCUCGCCGCUUAGAUCCAAAAUGCCGGGGUUAUCCAUUCAUUUUUUUUUACUUUUGAUCGACGGAAAGAGUGGGUUAACCGUCGCCUUGAGAAAAAAAAAAACUUGACCGGACAGCGNNNNNNNNNNNNNNNNNNNNNNNNNNNNNNNNNNNNNNNNNNNNNNNNNNNNNNNNNNNNNNNNNNNNNNNNNNNNNNNNNNNNNNNNNNNNNNNNNNNNNNNNNNNNNNNNNNNNNNNNNNNNNNNNNNNNNNNNNNNNNNNNNNNNNNNNNNNNNNNNNNNNNNNNNNNNNNNNNNNNNNNNNNNNNNNNNNNNNNNNNNNNNNNNNNNNNNNNNNNNNNNNNNNNNNNNNNNNNNNNNNNNNNNNNNNNNNNNNNNNNNNNNNNNNNNNNNNNNNNNNNNNNNNNNNNNNNNNNNNNNNNNNNNNNNNNNNNNNNNNNNNNNNNNNNNNNNNNNNNNNNNNNNNNNNNNNNNNNNNNNNNAUGGAACUUGCGUGUCAAUUAUAUAAAUGUAGAGAUACCUGAACAGACAGGUGCUUUAUGCUUUGGCUAUCAGUCACGGUUAGUAUAUGUGCAAGAAAAUAUUUCAAGUGUUUGAGGGAACUAACCAAAUGAACCACGAAAUCAGUGGCCCGCAAGAAUCGAUAAUAAUUCUGUCGACUAAAACUGCUUUCUAGACAAGUCAGUGUAUGAUUACACUUAUUUAUAUUUUGUACAAUCAAGCUUUACAUUCACGGAUUUGUUUCUAAACGCCUGGGUCAUUAAUUUAGUUUGUUGUCAAAUCAAUUACCUCCCACGGAUUUGUUUCCACAGCCGGUCAAAAUAUACAAAAUAUCAUAGUUUCGCAACUGGGCAUAAUCUGAUAUAUAUAUAUAUAUAUAUAUAUGCAAGGAGGAUCUGUUACAUUUUUCAGGAAGUAGGUAGUCCGUCACUGUCUAGAAUGUGGUUCUUAAAAUUGUACUCUUCUUUUUGGAUGGCCCUAAGAGCAACUUCAAUGGAGUGACCCAUUUCGUCCGCCGUCUUUCGUUUGGGUCGGCGCUGACACAAAAGCUGACCCAAUGCACCGACCUAAACGGAUGCGCGUCCGAUUUUGUUCGUCUGCCGACCCAUUCCUGGCCCAUUUUUGAGCCGGAUUUGCGUCAGCGCGGACGCACGCGCGCUCGCCCUCUCUCCUUCCCGGGCCCAUUGGUCGGUGGCACAUUGGCCUCUCCACAUCCAACAGCACACCGUCGCCGCCUGCUUCGUCGCCAACGCCGCCAGCCAUUUUUUCCGAUAGAACAAGAAUACAUAGAUAGUUCUAGCGUACACAGAUAAAAGAAAAGACUAACUACUCGGCGUCGCUUUCCGACUCUGACUCGGUAAUGUCCUCCUCCGACGUAUGAAUGUAGGCGUCAGCAUACAACUCGUCCUCGAAGUACGACCCCGAUGUUUCGGGUAGCUUCAGUUUCAAUUGAGCGGCUUGCUUCCGCGCACGCUUGUCCUCCCGAUAGGCGGCUCGCUCCGUCCUCCUCGCCUCCCUCUCCGUCCUCCUUUGCUUGUAGAACUGGCGCUCGUCGACGAUGUCCUGCGGGAAGCGGUCGCGCCACACCACCAUGGCUUCCGCGUCCAUCUCGGCGAUGGCGAGGCGACACUGCUGCCUCCGGUGGACAUAACGAUCCUUAUCGGUGAAAAGCCGCAGGAGAGACGCUAGAUCCUGCGCCCGCUGGCUCGACACGUCAGGAAAAUUCAUCUCCCCACGAGGCCUCAGGAGGCGCUAGGCCGCCACGUCGUGCGCGCGGGCCGCCUCCUCUGCGGUGUCGAAGGUGCCGAAGAUAAGGCGUUUAUCGCCAAAACAGAUCUCGGAGGAGAAGGCAUCGGAGCGGCGCUCACGGACUCCGCGAAAAUCUGAUGCGCCCAGGCGGCGAAUAAACAUCGUGGCGCAGAGGCGGCGAGGCUAGUGAGGCGACGAGUGGGCGACGGACAAAGUGUGGAGGGAGCGCCUUCUUAUAACGAGUGCCGGCCGCGGCACGCGCGAACCUUUCCCGCGCGCUGGAGCGCCAAAACCAGCGCGCGCUAGCCCGAUUUUCGUCCGCGCGCGCGAACCUUUCCCGCGCGCUGGAGCGCCAAAACCAGGACGACGACAUGGCCGCUGGCAUGAUCUACAGCGCGUGCAUUCAUGGAAUGGGCCGGCGCAUUGGGUGCACUACCGACUCAAAUGAAAAAUUAGACGGACAACUGGUGGGCGGCCGACCCAAACGGACAAAAAACGGACAGAAGCGUCAUUCAUUUGGGUCGAUCCGUUGGAGUUGCUCUAAGUGUUCUUUUCUUCGUUGGACAAGUCCUGGCGGUAAGUGCUUUCUGACAACAGCGACGAUGAACUAUGACGACAAUGAUGAACGAAGCAGACUAGUGUGAUCCUGGCAAAAUACCUUUUACACCGAGUGGCACAGCGGUACAAAGCUAACUUCCGAUCCCUAAUCGAUCGUUUCCUGGACGUGAACUAGUACUGUUAUGCACUAGUACUUCUAGCCGGACAGGGACACGCAACAAUAGUCAUAGUUGUUGAAAUUUGCCUGUCUUUCUUCAUCUGUUCAGACUUUUAAAUGAGUUAGAUGGUGUAUGAAUUCAAUACGGCAUCCGAUUUAAGAGGUUUAAAGUUCAAAACCGUGCCUAUGCAGUAAUUAAAAAAGAAAUUUUCUACCUACAUAAAUCCCACGUCGGAAGACUAAAUAAGUCUAGACGUGGUGGGUGGGGGGGGAGGGGGGGUUAAAUAUAUUGGCAGUCUUUCUCCAUCAGUCAGACUAUUGGAUGAGUUGGUUGGUGUACUGGACUGAAUUUAAAGUCUUCUGCUUUCCUUAUCUUCUUCGUUGCACCAUCAGUAACUGUGUCUCUGAUGGGUCAGCAUCUAGGGCGGUGUCUGUGUCCCCUUAUGAUGACUUCCUUGUCUCUCCUCUAUUAUAGGAACAUGUCAUUCAUGUUUUUCUUUCUAUUGCUACUAUUUUUUGCGGGUAUUGUUCAUUGCUUCGACUCACGGUACAAACUUUACAGCAGUGCUUACAUGUAUAUAUAGCUGCUAGUCUCUAGGAAAUACUCCCUCCAUUCCCAAAACUUGUCUUUCUAGGCAUUUUCAAAUGGACACAACGUACGGAUGCAUGUAGACAUAUUUUAUAUUAUAGAUUAACUCAUUUUGCUCCGUAUGUAGUUAUUUGUUGAAAUCUCUAGAAAGACAAAUAUUUGGGAACGAAGGGAAUAUCAAACUAAAUUGGUCCCUGCAAAAAAAAAAUCAUACUAAAUCAGUGACUAGUACUAAUCCUACUCGGCUACAUGUAAGUUGUGUUUAACUGCAGCAUCACCCUGUAAGCACGACGUGGUCACUUCACAGCUUGAACCACAAUUCUACUUCACGUCUUCAAGAACUACUCACAAUACAAAAGCAUUGCUUAGGAUGUCCGAUAGCUGAUUAUCGGUGCAAAUAUAGUAGACAUUAAUCUUACCGUCUUCCGUGCAUUCCGUUAUGCAGUGAUCAUUUGUGGAGUACCUGUCCACCGGCGGCCGGGGUCCGUGGAAACUUGCCGUCGGGCACUCAGCGCGACAGAUCUGCCACCAUGGACCUCUCAGCCACAAACUGGUCAAGUUCCACAACAGGGACAGCCGACAAGACCACUUCCUUGUGAGAGCGUUCGCCGCCCCUGGCUUUUUCUUCCUGUCGCCGGCGCCGAUGGUCCUUUCAUUCUAUGCUCCGCCGCGGCAGUGGACUAGUGUAUCAACGAAGGAAGGAAUAUGGUUACUACCCGUGGCUGCUGUACUGUUGUGAAGAAUCUACAAAAAUAGUUCACUACAGUUAGUCUUUUGUGCCGAUCGCUGCGCUUGGUCUUUUUAAUUAGUUCACAUAACUUUCAUUUUAUGUAUCAAAUAGUUAACUUUUGGGCUGCAGUUAUUCUCUACACCAAUGGUGUAACGGGUCAUCUAAUAUAUGAGUUAAGGAAGGGUUAUGGCUACUACCCACGCAAGGGGGCCCGAACUGUAGUAAACUUGUGCCCCGUGUUCGUUCAAUGGCAUGUGGUGACUCUCCACUACCGAAUAAAUCACAUGCGACUAUUGUACUAUUGUGAAGAAUCUACAAAAAUAUCCUCAACAACAUUCUCCCGUGUCGUCGCGGCCAUGCCCACUUUCUCUUGGGUAGACAUAUUUGUGAUGGUUGGUCGAUGUUAUCAUAUUUUUGGGAACAUUUUCAUCUCUUGAGCUCUAGCACACUUAUACACCUAACUAAUGUGCCCUAUUGCAGAUCACCCAAAGGCCGAAAGAUACGCAAUUAUGCACGCAUGAUUGAAAGAGUGACUAAGCUUAUGGCAAUUGGUCACAUACGAUCUGCUGAGAUACAUCCCACAAAUCAAGCAUGAAAAAGAAAAAGAAAAGGUUGUAAAUCAUCGAUAUUUUUCCUUCUUUUAUCUCCCUACCAUUGUUCUAUUCUUAAAGGCCCUGAUGGGAUUGCGAGUAGUAUCUCUGAUGGGACCUUGUUUCUUUGUUCCCGGUACUAAUGUUAAUAGUUUAUUGAUAUUUAUACAUAAAGCAGAAGAACCUAGCUAGCUAGCUUACUACUUUAGCCUUUCUUUAUGUAUCUUAGUCUAAUCAUGGAACUUGUGCCUCAAUUCUAUAUUUAGAGACAUAUUAGCAAAGAGAUGCUCUACGCUUUGGAUGUCACUCACGGUUAGUAUAUGUUCAACGAAAUAUUUAUAUGUUAUUUCCCAGUAUUGAUCAAAAUAAACACAUGGACCAAGAAAACAGUGGCCUGCAGAAAACGGUAUAACUGCUUUCUAGAAAACUGAGUAUUUGGUUACUUGCUAUAUUUUUUGUACAUCAAACAUUUUUACUUGCUUUAGUUAGUUGUCAACAAAUUACAUAGCACGGAUUUGUUUUCACAACCUCUUAAAAUACAUAGAACAUCUUAGUUCGGCAAUCCUGCCUAAUCGGGUAAAUAAGCAGGAAAAUAUCUAUUACGUUUUCCGUACAGGAGCCAGUCCAUCCCUGUCUAGAAUGUGAUUCUGAAAGUUGUAUUCUUUGUUGGAAGCCUGUGAGAGUUUUUCCUUAGCUCUAAAAGGUUAGCCCAAUGUCAGAUUUUUAUUAUUUAGACAUCAUGAUGGUAUAGGAUGAUAAAGAGAAAUAAAGUGGACGUGAAAUUUCUUUGUAUGAUAUUGGCGUGAAUUUAGUGCAUAUUAUAUAGCAAUUCAACAACGGUGAUUUUGACCAUUGGAUCUUCAUCUAAUUAACGGAUGUAUUCAUGUUUUCUUUUAAUAGAUUUUGAGCUGCCAAUUAAACUGCAGAAAUCAUGCAUCAACCAUCCCAUCGAUGUUAGAACUAUUAGUUAUCUUAUUAUCAGGAUUCGGCCAAUAUGUUUGUCACACACACAUAAGCGACAAGGGUAUGUAUCAAGCUUUGUUGGUUUAUCACGUACGCCACAAGCGUGCCACUAGGAACAAGUGCACAUGUUCUUUUAUAGGAUUUACAGACCAACGCGUGUUUAAUCGUGUAAUGCAUAUAUAGGGUUAGGGUUCGAGACGAGGUGUUUGUGAAGACAUUCACUCGUUCCUGGGAUUUGGAAUGUCGAGAAAACCGACAGCCCCUUGUGCUUCCAGAUGGUGCAGGGAAUAAAACUGGAGCAGCAGAGGCAGAUUUAAAUGUAUUUAUUUCCAUCAUCCAUGGUUCUACAUGUAAAUAUCAAUUUUUCCCACAGAAAAGUGUAAAUGUAUACAUAUGAAUUGAUUUCCAUGGCGAAUGUACAUGUACCAAAAUUCUAGCUAGCUUCCCCUAGAAAAACAUUUUAGCAAGGUAGUCAGAAGCUUCCUUAAGAAAGAACAGAAAAGAAAAGAAAAGAAAAGAAAUGGUACGUGAUUCGUGCCCUUUGUUUGUUGAAGGAAGUAGUUUAUAGUAGUAUAACAGUGCAUGCAUGGCUACCGCUUGGUCCGUCCAUGCGUACGUAGUUUUCCUAUAUAUAGAGAGAGAUUAGAGAGCGGAGGACCAACACAAGUCAUAAGCGGCCAUCGAUCUAUCCCAGGCCACACGUAGUAGCACAACAAUCAUGACGAUUUCCGCUAUGCCGCUGCUAUUGCUUCUUCUUGUCAGCUUGUCUGUAGGUUCUUGUGUGGGUGACCAUCAUCAGCUCCUCAACUUCAUGACAGUGAAAACAAGCUCCCUAAAGCAUAUCGCAGAAGGCGCCGUCUGCUCCGGACACAAGGGUGAGUAUCUAAGGGUACUGCAUGCAUGCAUAUGCAUACGUUAUUUAGUACAUACUCGCUCCGUUCGGAAUUACUUGUCGCAGAAAUAGAUGUAUUCGAAAUAUGUCUAGAUACAUCCAUUCCUGCGAUAAGUAAUUCCCGAUACAUCCAUUCCUGCGACAAGUAAUUCCGAACGGAGGAAGUACGUCAUAUAGUAGCUAGCUUAAUAUUGAGCUCAUUGAUGGAUAUGCAUGCGUGUUAACCUGUCGCCUUCGUCUGUCGACAAACAGUGACAAUGCCGUCCGGCGACGGUGUCAGGUGGGUACCGAUGAACCGCCCGCACGGCCCAUGCUCGUCGGCGGCGGCGACUACGGUCGUCGACGGCAUGCUCCUGUGGGACCAGCUACGCACCAGCUCAAUCCGGAGGAAGCUCUCCGGCGGCAGGGCCGGCGAUGGCCUGCCGGUCAUCCACUCCCGUGAAGCCAAAACUAGCAACAUCGACAGCAGUAUGACUGCGAAAAGCACGCUGGGGGGCAGCGGCGGGACAAGCUCCACGACAAUGGAAAGGACCAGCGAACACUUGUACUCCAAGGUGAGCCAAACGGUGGUGGUGGACACGAGCAGCGACAUUCCGUGGGUGCAGUGCCUCCCGUGCCCCGCCCCGCAGUGUCACCUCCAGAAGGACCAACUCUACGACCCCGCCAACUCCAGCACGUACGCACCUAUCCCCUGCGGCUCCCCUGCCUGCACGGAGCUCGGUAGCAGCCACAGCAGUGGCUGCUCCGCCGGCUCCGACCAAUGCAAGUACAUCCUCGACUACGGCGACGGCAGGGCCACCGCCGGGACAUACGUCACCGACACGCUGACCUUGUCGCCCACCAUCGCGGUCAAGGGCUUCCGGUUCGGGUGCAGCCACGCCGUGAGGGGCACCUUCAGUGACCAGACCGCCGGCGUCCUGGCCCUCGGCGGCGGCGCUGGGUCCCUCCUUGCGCAGACCGCGGAGACCUUCGGCAACGCCUUCUCCUACUGCGUCCCGCACCCGAGCUCCGAUGGAUUCCUCUCGCUGGGCGGGCCGGUGGGGAACUCGUCGCAGUUCACGAGCACGCCUCUNNNNNNNNNNCUCUGAUCAAGAACCAACACGCUCCGACGUUCUACAUCGUCCGCCUGGAGGCAAUCACCGUGGCCGGGAGGCGGCUCGACGUGCCGCCGGCUACGUUCGCCGGUGGUGCGGUGAUGGACUCAGGGGCGGUCGUCACGCAGCUGCCACCGUCGGCAUACGCAGCGCUGCGGGCAGCGUUCAGGAGCGCCAUGACGGCGUAUGGCCCGCUUGCGGAUCCCGUACGCAACCUUGACACGUGCUAUGACUUGACCCGCUUCCCCGAGGUCAAUGUCCCCAAGGUGUCCCUAGUGUUCGCAGGCGGUGCCACCUUGGAGCUCGAGCCGGCGUCCAUCAUGCUGGACGGCUGCCUGGCUUUCACGGCCUCCCCUGGCGGCCACGGCUCCAUCGGAUUCAUCGGCAACGUGCAGCAGCAGACCUACGAGGUUUUGUACGACGUCGGCAGCGGGAGCGUGGGAUUCCGCAGUGGCGCGUGCUGAUGUGGCAAGCUGCAGGCCAACCACGGCCACUUGUACGUGUGAUGCAUGAUUGGCCCCCUAAUAUAUAUCUGGGUCUACAAGCUAGCUUGCUCAUUGGGAUGGAGCUAGUUUGUGAGUAUAAAUAAAUGCAAGAAAGAAGAUUGAUGUAAUACUUAUAUAUGCAUGUAAUUUUAUAUAGUUUUAUAUAUGCAUGUAAUUUUGUUCAACGGUUGUAUGAUUGUAAACCUUAUAAUAUAACCUUACAGAUUGUCAAGGAAUUCAACCGAUAUAAUUACUCUACUUAUUGAUGUGCAAUAAUGUAAUAUGACUAUUAAGAAGCAUUCUGAUUGUGGAGGUGGUUUCGCACUUUUUACUACAACAAAGGUGUUUGAAGGAUUCCUCGGCAGAAACUAGAACGCACUCCUUCAAUAAUUGACGAGCUAAUUGGUUGUUGAACUUCAGACAAAGAUUGUUGGGCAUGAAAGCGGUCACCAGCGGGUUGAUUGGCCUCACCAGCUCAUACGUGUUCAUGAGGCGUGGUUUUUUUCUUUUCUUGAUUAAUAGUAUUUGUUUCUGGAUGCUUGCAUUGUUAGAUUUGGAAGCGUUCCUACUCCUCGAUGAGGAGCCGGGUUGGUUUAUAUUGAACGAGGCAGAACAGCCCUGCCGUGGCUUACAAGAAGAGGAAACUGAUCGCAAGGAUUGGGUUGUAAGGAGGACUCCUAAACAGCUACGCGAGGGAGAGAGAUAGAAUAGAGUUGAGAUUACAAUGCGGAGAUAAACAUGAAUUCUAACACCCUCCCUUAAUCUCAACUAUUCUAUGUUUAGAUUCCUCUUGAACUCAUCAAAUGGUUUUGCUGGUAGUGCCUUGGUGAACCCAUCAGCCACUUGAUCUUUGGAAGGGAUGAACCGUAUCUCAAGUUUCUUUGCUGCAACCCUUUCAGGCACAAAGUGAAAAUCAAUCUCUAUAUGCUUGGUUCUUGCAUGAAACACUGGGUUUGCAGACAAGUAUGUUGGUCCCAAAUUAUCACACCAUAAACAUGAGAUGCGAUUCUGCUUGACCCCCAUUUCAUCCAGUAGUGAUUCAAUCCAAAUGAUUUCUGCAGUGGCAUUAGCUAAGGAUUUAUACUCAGCCUCUGUAUUUGAACUUGAUACAGUGGCUUGUUUCCUACCACUUUAAGAAACAAGAUUAGGCCCAAAGAACACUGCAAAGCCUCCGGUUGAUUUUCUAUCAUCACUGCAACCUGCCCAAUCAGCAUCAGAGAAUGCACUCACAAGAGUAGAAUUAGAGCGUCUAAAAUGCAGUCCUACUCCCAUAGUAUGUUUGACAUAUCUUACAGUUCUCUUAAUAGCUGUCCAAUGUGCAGUAGUGGGUGCAUGCAGAUAUUGACAAACUUUGUUAACAGCAAAUGAGAUAUCUGGGCGAGUAAGAGUCAAGUACUGUAAUGCUCCAAUAGUACUUCUAUACUUUGUGCUAUCUUCCUCAUAAAGUGGCUCACCUUCAUAUGCUGAAAGUUUCUCCGAGGAGGACAAUGUGUAGGUACAGGUUUGCAGUUUUUCAUCCCCAUACGAGAUAGAAGCUUGGUAACAUAUUUCUCUUGUUUUAGUACCAUGCCAUCUUGAGUCAUCUUAACUUCAAUGCCUAGAAAGAAGUGCAAAUGUAACAUCCCAAAAUUCUAAAUUUUGGAAUGUUAUAUUAAAUAAUUAAUUAUGAUUGUUUGUUUGUUGUGUGAUUGAUUGUGUGAAAAUGAUUGGAAAUUGAAAACUUUUUGAAAGUUGAAUGAGAGGGAAUAAAAGGACUUUCUCGAAACUUUUCAUCUUGCAUUUUGAUCUUCCUGAAUUCAAAUUCAUUUCAUCACAAAACCCUAGAGUGAAGAUAAUAUGACUUCUUCCAUUUAAAGAAAUUAAAAAAGGGGUUUGAAAAUGAUUUGAAUUCCAUUUGAAACAUUUCGAAUUUAGAAACUUUAAGAGCAUCUCCAGCCGUUCGCCCCCCAGGACGCAUAAAAAUCGCCCCCAGGGGGCGAGCCGGCGAUACAAUCGGCGCUGGGAGCGGUUUCGCGCCCAGUCGUCGCCCCCAGCUCGCCCCAGGCGUCGAUAUUGGCCCACUUAUCCCAUUUCGGCGAAUAAAGGGCCCAUAUGGGCGACAAUAGGCCCAUAUUCGGCGUGGUUUGCCGUUGUUCGGCGUUCAAUUAUGCACAUAAAUUUUUUUAUCACAUAUUUCAUCACAGAAAUAUCAAAUACUUCAACAAAAUAGUACAACAACAAAUAGUUCAAUACAAUUUAUAUAGUUGAAGAAAUAAAAACUCAUAUUCCAUCACACGUCGCGCCCGACGUCGCCCUUGAGCCUCCAUAGAUGCUCUAUCAGAUCUUGCUGCACUUGAUGAUGCACCUGUGGGUCUCGGAUCUCCUGACGCAUACUGAGAUAGGCAGUCCAGGUUGCCGGUAGCUGGUGAUCAACUUCGGCUAGAGGACCCUGCCUGUAGUAUGGUUCAGUGUCAAACACUGGGUCUUCUUGCUCGCUCUCGAUGAUCAUGUUGUGCAAGAUGACACAACAAGUCAUAAUCUCCCACAUUUGAUCUUUCGACCAGGUCUGAGCAGGGUACCGGACAACAGCAAAUCGAGAUUGGAGCACACCAAAUGCCCUCUCGACAUCCUUCCUGCAAGCCUCCUGAACCUUCGCAAACCGGGCGUUCUUGCCUCCUGGCACAGGGUUUGAGAUUGUCUUCACAAAUGUCGACCAUCUCGGAUAGAUGCCAUCAGCUAGAUAGUACCUCUUAUUGUAGUGCCGCCCAUUGAUCUCGAAGUUCACCGGAGGAGAAUGACCUUCAACAAGCUUGGCAAAGAUAGGAGAGCACUGCAGCACGUUGAUGUCAUUGUGAGUUCCUAGCAUACCAAAGAAGGAGUGCCAAAUCCAGAGGUCCUGUGUGGCCACCGCCUCAAGUACCACACUGCAACCGUCUUUGGCGCCUUUGUACAUCCCCUGCCAAGCAAAUGGGCAAUUCUUCCAUUUCCAAUGCAUGCAGUCGACUCUUCCAAGCAUCCCAGGAAAUCCUCUUGCUGCAUUCUGUGCUAGGAUCCGAGAAGUGUCUUCCGCAUUGGGUGUUCUCAAGUAUUGCGGUCCAAACAUGGCCACCACUGUCCGAAAGAACUUGUAGAAACACUCUAUGCUGGUGGACUCAGCCAUGCGCCCAUAGUUGUCGAGUGAAUCACCGGGAGCUCCGUAUGCAAGCAUCCUCAUCGCUGUCGUGCACUUCUGAAUGGAGGUGAAUCCAAGGGCGCCGGUGCAAUCCAUCUUGCACUUGAAGUAUUUGUCGAACUACCGGAUGGAAUUCACAAUCUCGAGAAGAGCUUCCGGCUCAUCCGAUAACGGCGCCGAAAUGUUUUCUCGCCGUGAAGUGGAGCAUCGGCGAAGUAGUCGGAGUAGAGCAUGCAGUAGACUUCAAGACGAUGCCGGUUCAUUGCUUUCACACGCCCGGCGCCGAGCCACCUCGCUGCGGCUUUUUAUUGCUCGCCAGCAGCUGGGCGAGGGCGGCGAGCAACAUGAGAUGCUCUUCUUCCUGGACGUCGGCCUCGGCUUCCUCCUCCAGCAGCGCGGCGAGCGCUUCCUCGUCAUCCGAGUCCAUCGCCGAGGCAGGCAAAUCGCCGAACACCUUGCGCCCGGUGGGCGUGUACCCGCCGCUAAACUGCCCCUCCGCGGCCGGAAACGCCCAGCUGCUGUUGGAGGGGCUGCCGCGGCGAAGCUCUGCUAUUUUUUCGGCAGGGAAUGGCUAUCUAGCGGUGAAGGGCGGCGGGCGGCGCCUGGAUAUAGCUAGUGGCGGCCGAGGGCGCGGGGGUGGGAGGCGAGUCGGGGAAGAAAACCUUGACUUUUCCCCUGCCGGUGUGGGCCAGCCGCGCUUUUCCCUUGCGCCGGAGCUCCCAAUUGCCCCCAGUGCGCCGGGUUCGGCCUGUGACCGUCGAGCGGAAAAAAGGGCCGAACCGGCGAUUUUCGGCGUCCUGGGGGCGCGAGUGGGGAAUUUUUUUGGCACCGGCGGCGAAAAAGUGGCCUGGGGGGCCUGUUGGGGGCGCGGCCGGAGAUGCUCUAAGAAAUUCAAUGAGUUCAUGAGGGAAGAUAAAAUGACUUCUACAAAUCAAAGGAAGAGAGUUGGAAGUUUCAAAGGAAUAAUUCGAAGACACUUUGAAGUUAUUUGAAACUCAUUUUUCCAUUUGAAGUUGUUUGAAAUUCCAAAUUUCAAAUCCUCUUGGGAGUUAUUUAGUUUUAAUUCAAAUUAUUUUUCUCCUAAAAAUAAAUAGAUGGAAAUAAGGGUAAAAUGAUUCCCUUCAAUAGAAAAUUAGGAGAAAAUAUAUUUGAAAUCAUUUUGCUAUUUUAAAAACGAUUUUUAUUGAUUUUAAAUGUAAUAGUAGCACUGUUUGACUUUUAUGAAUUUUUAUAGAAUUUAGUUGAACUUGAAAAAUAAUUCAUCUUAUUGCUGCUAUUUUUCUGAGCAUUUUGGUAUAUAAUAUUCCUACGUAAUUUUUUAGUUAUUUUCCUAUGUUGAAGUUUUUGUUUCUGCAAAAAAAAACACGCGCCCGCCAGCCGGCCCAGGGUCUUCGGCCCAAGAGCCAGCCAGCACACCAAGCCGGCCCAGCAGCUCCCCAGGCCGCCCGAGGCCUUAUGCCUCGCUCGCCCACGCCCCUCUUCCCUCGCUCACUCUCUCCCACCGCCGCUGCCAGUGGGGCCCGCAACCCUUCGUCCCUAACCUACCGCUCCUCCCGUUGAGAUAGAGCACGCGUGUGCCGCCCGCAACUGCCGGCUGCUCCGCUUGGGAUAGAGCUCAUCCCCAGUGUCCGCAGCCUCUUCUCGCGCCUAUAAAUUCCCCCGACUCCCCUCGUUCGAUUUUGCCACUCCGCAACGACCCACGCCACUCAUAGCCGCCGCCUUCGUCGUUUGGAUCUCGCCCGCCGGAGCUACCUGGCCGGUCUGUUCCCCCGUCCGUAAGACUGCCUCGACCCGUUCUUCUUUGUCAAUUGACUCCCCGCGUCGAGGCGCAUCUGAUUGACAAAAAUUUGCCGCCUUGGUCGUACCAGAGACGACGCGCCGCGCUCUCGCCGGAGCACCGGAGCUCCGCCGCCUCCCUCCGCUCGUCGCUGGCCACCCCACCGCCGGCCAACCCCACCAGCAUGCCGCCCACGCCGCGCCCGACCUCCCCGACCCCUUCGUCGCCGCUGCCCGCUGAGGACCCCCGGAGACGCCGCCGUGUCCGCCGUCCGCCGCCUGACGCCAGUGCCGCCGCCCCUGUUCGCCGUCCUCGCUCGCUGUGAGCCGCUGACCCUUAGUCAUUUUUGUUGUUGUUGUAUUAGAUCGGGUAACCGUGGUUUUAUUAAACCGUACAGUUUAGUAAAAAACCGGUCUCCGGUUUUCUUUUUAUUUAGCCGCGGUAGCCGUUUUAUUUAUUCAGUGGCCGUCCGCCAUUUAGCCUGAGCCGCGAACGCUUCUCAGCAACCCGGAAGCCGCCACGUGGCCAGGGACCUGGUCACGAAUAAAACUUUCACAAUUAAGUCCCUGAGAUUUCAUUUUAGCCCCUAAACUUCGAAUGGUUGUAUCUUUUUAACCGUAACUGCAAAUUCGACGAAACCAGCGGAAAAAUGUUCGUGUCGAAUAGUUUUAUCCAGAGAACCAACUUUGAAAACUUUUGGACAAAUUCAAAUUUGAACUUUAUUCAGAUUUGAAUUCAAACUUCAACUGGCCAUAUCUGUUAAACCGUAGCUCCGAUUGGUGUGAUUCUUUUUGCAACGUGUCAUCGUAGCCAAACCCUACCACCUAGACCUUGUCACAAUCUGUCUAUGAUAGUUUUACUAUUAUGCCAUGUAUGGACUUUAGUACACAUCACAGUUUUGAACCCCAUGUCACAUGUUGUUUUGCACUUAGGAUAUUUCCAUGCUAGUUAACUGUGUUGAAUAUUCAUUUGGUUUUUCUGACACUUUGUGCUUUGCAUGUUCUUCUUGGUUCUCUGAAACGAUUGCUUAUGUGAGUGCAAUGUUUGACUUUAUAGAUUGUCAUCAGAGAGUGAAGAAUAGUUCUAUUAAGUAAAUUUCUGAGAGCGAUAUAAUCUUCAUCAACUAUUACCAGGCAAGUUCACAUUUGACCAUUUUUCCAAUUACCUAUGUUUAUAUUAUGCACUUAGUCCUUUUGUGGUAGUAUUGCAUGGUAGGUCUGAUCUAUACAUCCUUGUCACCACCGUGUAAGUUUAUUUUUGCCUCGCUAAAUGUAGACAUGGUUUGGGAAGCGAACAUGGCGAGACAUGAGUGACAAAGUAGUAAUCAGGACCAAGACUUGUAAAUGAACUACCUGGGCGGUAUUUGGUUUGAAUGGUGGCGAAGUACAGUGGGAGCAUGCAUGGUUAAUCCAUGGUGGUGCACCACUAGUGGUUGGCCGCUUAUGCUCAAAGAGAUCAAUCGUAUUCUCAUGUCUAGAAGCUUAAGUGUGCAGCCACAAGCCAAUAUGGGCUCUGGCUUAGUUGAGUAGUUAGUGUGACCCCUUCCGGGAUGGGCUAGCAGAUGUAGAAUGAUGUAGGUGUACCGGCCUAUCCAUGGGUUAAGGGGUGACAUUUUUGAAAGACUAUGUCUCGGUCAUCCUGUUCUCAAACGCCAGGCAGUGCGAGAACUCCAGGGGAGGCGAUCGAGUCUUGUGGGGAAAAGUGCGCAAACCUCUGUAGAGUGUUUUUUUUGAACUUGAUAGUGGGAGAGAACUCCCACUGUAUAUUUUCACAUAUCUAUGUAAAUGGGGUGUUUACAUAGACAUACCACUCACACACAUCCAGCUCCACUCUUGGUGGAACCACCAGGGGUGGGGAAACUACACCAUGGUCACUACUAUACACUUGUCUCUAAGUAUUUAAAGAGGGAAGAAUAAAACACAGUAUGUCUCAGCUAAGUGUGCCACAGUAUGAAAGCAGGGCAGCUCUACGUGUACCCUGAACUCUAUGUUGCAGAAGUCCCAAGUCCUCUUUGAAUCGUUGGAACCAAGAUGCAAUGCUUGGGGUUACACCUAUGAAGUGUUUAUUGUUUCUUUCCUUCCACAAACUCUAGGUAGCAGUGAAAAAUGCUUCAAUGAAGAAAGGAUUGGGCCAGUUGGGUUGUGCGUUUUGCAACGCAUCAAACCUAUUUUGAAAAUCAAUCCAGUGAACACCUAUCUUGGCCCAACACCUUUCGCUGAACUGGCAGGUGAAGAUCAUAUGCUCGAGAGUCUCAUCUGUAUUUUGCCCACAAAGGAGACAUGUGAAGUCAUUCCCAAUGUCAUAGUGUCUUCUUCUCAGCAUGUCACAUGUGUUCAACCUGUCGUGCAGCAGCAACCAUCCAAAUACUUUGAUUUUCAUUGUACAGUUUGAUUUCCAAAGGAGCGGGAAGCUGGGAUGAGCUGUUGCAUCACGGGAGAAGUUGUUAUAGUAGUCUUUUGGCUUGUACUCAGCUGUCCCCCAAGCAUAGAGCCAAACAUCAGAUAUUGUUGUGGAUGGGUGUAUGCGGAAUGCUGCAUGUUGGACAUCUUGCACCUCGUUGAGCGCACGAGCAGACAGCGGUAGGUGAAUGGUUUCAUGCAGUUCAGUGUUGGCCCAGAAGUCAGCGACCGUCAUGUCUUCCUGCAGAGCAAAUGAAAAGGCACGUGGGUGCGAUGUUUGUAGCACAUCAUUUGACCACAAGUCUUUCCAGAGCAGCGUAGUCGAGCCAUCAACUACUUGGACACGAGUGAUCCCUCGGUAGAUGGGCGUUAAUUUGAGAAUGUCUUUCCACCAGAAAGAACCGACUAGAUCAACCGCAUGAGGCACCUGGUUAGCAUACUGAUUAUCCCAAAGCAUAGUAACCCAUGGUACGUCCAGUUUGUUAUAGAACUUGUGGAGAAAUUUCAGCAGGAGGGCUUCGUUGUGGAUUUUAAUGUUGAUCACUCCUAACCCACCUUUACACUUGGGCUUGCACACUAGUUCCCAAGCUGCAAGCGAAUUACAUUUGUCACCUUGGUCGGUUUUCUUUGUCCAGAGACAUCUCCUUCUAAUCUUGUCAAGAAUUUCAAUUAGAUUCGGAGGGAACUUGAGCGUGCACAUGGCAAACACCAGAAGGGAUGUGACCGAUGCAUUGAGCCAGGAGAGGCGGCCCCCAUAGGACAUCAUAGCGAUCGUGGCAGUGAGACGACGCUCCAUUUUGCAAACUAGAGGCCUGAAUUCUUGAAUGGUUGGUCUUGUAGUGCCAAGUGGCAGGCCAAGGUAGGUGAAAGGCAUUGUACCUACAGUGCAGCCGAAAACGGCAGCAAGGCUAGAGGUUGCACCUGCGUCCAGGUUGAUUGGUAUGAGCGUCGACUUGUGAAAGUUAAUUUUGAGGCCAAUAGAGGAUGCAUAGUCAGAGAGAGUGUUCUUGACACGGGCAGCCUGUUGUGGGCAAGCAGGCAAGACAAGGAGGGUGUCGUCCGCAUAUUGGAUCACUGGGUAAUCAUUUUUCCCAUUGCAUGGAAAAGGCAGGCUGAUAUCUCCACGUCGAUAAGCAUCAUUGACCGUGGCUUGAAGUAGUUCAGCUGCCAGGACGAAAAUGAGGGGGGACAGAGGAUCACCUUGCCGCACACCGCAUCGACAAAGGAACUGUCGGCCUGGGACCCCAUUAAGAAGGACGGACGAGCGACCCGAGGAGAAGAGGCACUUGAUCCAGGAGAUCCACUUGUCAUUGAAACCCAUCUGCUGCAUAAUGCAAAUCAUUGGUUCAUGCGCGAUGGUAUCAAAUGCUUUGGCGAAAUCAAGUUUAAGAAUAAUGAUUGGCCGGCCCGAGUUUUGACAUUGAUAAAGAUAUUGAUAAGCCCAUGCCAGACAAUCCUGUAUAGUACGCCCUUUAAUGAACCCAUACUGAUUCCGGUGAAUGAGGGUGAAAAUGGCAAGUUGAAGUCUGUCUGCUAGCAGUUUGGUAAUCAACUUGAGGCAGCAGUUGAGCAAUGUAAUGGGUCUGAAAUCAUUGACUGUUUCUGGAGAGUUGGUCUUAGGUAUAAGUGUGAUAAGACCAUCAUUGAUACUAGUGACAUCUAACGUACCUUCAUAGAACUGAUCACAUAGGGUGUAAAAGUCAUGUCGAAUGAUGGGCCAGCAGGCUUUCAAAAACGCCCCACUAAAGCCAUCUGGGCCAGGUGCGCGGUCCGGAGGCAUACCUUUGACCACAUUAUCGAUUUCCUCAUGUGAAAAAGGCGUGGUAAGUUGGUCAAGAUUUGUAACGUGGGGGAUAAUGUUUGGAAGAUCAAAUUUCAUGUCUGAAUGGGAGACCGUACCCAGGCGGUUUUUGUAAGUUUGAAACAAGAGGGCCUCUUUUGCAGGAUGAUUGUCAACCAAUGUGCCAUCCUCAAGCUUGAGUGAGGAGAUAUUGUUUUGUCGAUAACGUUCCGUGGCCACUGCUUGGAAAAAUUUGGAGUUUUCAUCGCCAAACUUGAUCCAACGAAUAGUACAACGCUUCUUCUAAUAAAGUUUUUGAUAUUUGAGCAGUCUCAGCAAGUGUGACUUUAGGAUACGUCUGAAGUUCAUUUCUGGGAUUGAAAGGAUUCGUUUAUUCUCCAGCUCGUCUAAGUCUGCCAGGACAUGGUUAUAGUUCGUGAUGGCCACUAAUAGACGAGAAAUAUUCUUACUCCAGAUUUUGAUAGCAUGUGGAAUAGCUUUGAAUUUUCGGCAAAGGAUUGUGGCAGCAUUUGCGUUCCUAACUGGCCAUUCCCAAACCUCUCUAACUAUGUCCAUAAACCCUGAGUGUAAGGUCCAGUAAGAUUCAAAACGAAAGAGCUUGGAUCGGGGGAUUUUGGUCUCUAUGGUGACAACGCAAGGGAUGUGAUCAGAAACGGGCUUGCCAAGGGGUUUAAUGAGCGUCUUAGGAUAUGCAUUAGUCCAAUGCAAGGAUGUGAAGAACCAGCCAAUCUAUUCAAGCAAAGGAUCUGUCUGCAUAUUGCUCCAAGUGUAGGUUCUACCUUUCACCGAAAACUCAAUAAGUUGCUGCUGACGAAUGAUGUCAUUGAACGUAAUCAUGUCGUGAAUGUUACCCCCAGGUUUAUUACGAUUGUCCGGAGCUCUCAUGUAGUUAAAGUUGCCCAAAAGUAACCAGUGUUGGUUAUGGGGUGUUUGAACAUCGUACAACCAUUGCGUGAAAACUUCCCUGUCUGUACCAGUGCAAGGCCCGUACACGUUAACUAACGUCCAACGUUGAGAGGAUUAUGUGCUAACGAACUCGAUGGCUAGCGCAAAUGGAUCAGACGAGAGUACUAAACCAGAGAAAACCGAGCUUUUCCAGAUUGUAAGUAACCCCCCAGAGGCGCCGCGCGAAGGGACAAAAGCAAAACGAUCAAAUUGUCUAGGACAGCAAGUUUUAAUAGAAGCAAAAGUAACCUCAGGCAUCUUAGUCUCCUGAAGACAAACGAUAGCAAAACCACUGGUAGAGAUAGCAUUAUUCAGAGCCAGUCGCUUCUUCUCAGAAUUGAGCCCACGAAUAUUCCAUGAGAGCACAUCCCAGCAGCUCAACGAUGUCAUAUAGAACUCCAAUAUUAAGCAGAGGUGUGAGAGAGAUCCUCUCCCUGGUCAUCACUGUCAAUCGAAGAGGCAGAAGAUUCAGGCACGGCAGCAGUUUCAGCAAGCAGGGCUUCUUCAGAAAGUUCAGUAGCAGGUAUAGCACAUCUGUUAACUCCAAUGGAUUGCAGAGUAACUAUAGGAGUUGGGGGCGGGACCUCACCAGCAGAAGUAGCAGCAGAUGCUGAUGUGCCAAUAGACGGGAUGACAUGGGGCUUAACUUUGGAAUUGUUCUUGCGACUGUCAGAGAGGGGAGGAACCUUGAACCCAUCGUACGUGUUGGAGCAGAGACUGCGGCGCAAUUCAGUUGUGGAGAUAGGGGCAACAGCCCUGGUCCUACGGGGGCGCGGGCCAGUGGUGGCCAUAGAAGCAGUUGCCUCUGAGAUCAUAGAAGGUUCUGAAGGUGGAAUGUGCACGACUUGUUCUGUGUCCAUUGGGGCGUCUUCAGUGUUGGGCGGCAUGGCGGGCUCAAUGGCGUUUUCCACACUAGCAUGUUCAGAUAGGUCCUCAAUGAUCACAGCGAAGGUAGCCAAAGCAGAAGUAGAGCUUGAUUGCUGGGAAAAGGUCAGACCAGUAGAAUCCUGUGUGAUCAAGACAGACAACUGAACCUGGUUUGUUCUCAGACCAAACCCCUCUCUCCAAGGUCCAAAAGUUGCAAGCAUUGGACUAACAGCUUGGAAGAUGAAUGUGUUAAGAUUCAGGCGUGGGAUUGGGUCAUUCAGCAGCCUGGAAAGGAUCUCAUCUCCUUGAGCAGAUAAACCAAAUCUGACACCUUGAUCAUUGAUCUCCAGUGUGAUGUUAAGAGAUUCAGAGCUUGCACUGUCAGACAGCUGUAUAGCUGGAUCAGCCGGGAUGAGAAUGUCAGACUGGGUCGAGCUUGAACUGUCAGACUGGGUGAUCGAAUCAUUCCAAGCUUGGAGAGCAUUAUCAAUGACAUUAUUUUCAGGGACUAACCCAUGUUGCACAGUCAGACCCUGCGCAACAAGCCAGGCUUGGUAGUUCACCAAAUGGGGCGGCAUUUGCGGGAGUGGAGGAGCAGCGGGCGCCUCCCAAGUGCCCCAGCCAGUGUUGUCAUCCACUUCUUGAGCCUCAUUGUUGCCAGCUGCAGGUGCACCAUUCUAAACGAGCCAAUUGUGAACUUGCUGCUAAUAUAACUGUUCUGCAGUGAGUUCAGGGCCAAACUGCGGAUGUGGUUUGCCAUCGGGGGGUGGCAUUUCCUCAGAUGCAGCAGGUACAUCAGGGAGGAGGCCAUUCCAGUCGUUGUUGCGACGGAUGGUCACUACUAGUGUCUAACUGUCACGCGCACCACCCAGCUGCCAUACCACAAAGCUCAUGGGGAUGAGGCGUAGACUAAGUGCUCUUACUUUCAGAAGGAUGAAUCUGCGGUCCUGACGCGGAUUAUACCAGGAAACUAAGGAACCAUAUCCACCCAAGGCCUUAGUGAUGUAAUAGUCCGUUUGGUAGUCAUACGGAAAGCCGAAGAACAUAAUGCAAAUCUCAGGCCCAAACGGUGCAGCUCUACGAUAAAGAGCCACAUUGUGUGAAACGAAGGUGAUCAACAAAUCUUCAUCUUCAAGCUCAAGCGGUGUGUUGACAGCAUUACCUCUCAUAAAGGAAUCCACAAAACCGAAAAUCCCAACACCAAGGGGGUGAUCACUGACCUCUGUAGUAAAAAGCUGUGAUUCUUGAAGCAGAGUUGUGAUUCGAUGGCGGACGGUGGCCCGGCGAUGCAGGGGCACAGACUCACUGGCUUCUGCAAUGGCCAGGAACUCAUGGCUGAGUGGAGCAAUCGGGCCAACGACCAUGCCGCUGCGCACAAGACUAUCGGCCGGCCCUGGCUCAGCGGCAAAACCUGGCAGGAGGAAAGGCACAGGGUUCAGUGGGUAGUUCGCCAUUGUGGUGGAAGGGAUCAGAGGGGAGGACGGUGGUGCGGAGAUGGGAUGCAACUGCAAUGGCGCAAGCUGCAGCAAAGCGUCAGACUAUGGCGAUGGGACUGGACGGGAUGUGGCCCAUUGGGUUCUCGAGGCGGAAGCUGAAGCGUGAAUGGGGGCGGUAGAAGGCAAAGUUGCCUUUGCAACCUCUGUAGAGUGUUGAAACCUAAUCGAUUAACCAUGUCCCCGGUUACGGACAACUUGAGCAUCUAGUAGUGGAAAUGAUGGGAGAUCUCAUCACUCUUAAUUAAACAGUUGGUUUUUAAAUGAAACAUUGGGAAUGGAUUGAGUUGGGUUUGCCAACUCAUCCUAUGCUAUACUGUAGUGAUAGACUAAUGUCUUUUAUUCUAGGGAAAAACUAGCUUUAUGCAAAAACUAAACUUAGAGCUUUCCACCAGCCAAAUUGCAUGUACAAAUAGGUUCAUUAUUCUUAUGAUGUGACUUGCCAGUACAUUCAAUGUACUGACCUAUAGGGCUACAACGUCUUAUGUUGCAGGAAUUUCUACGACGAGUAAGAAUUAUGUUGUAGGGUUAUGGUCUACACUUAACUUGCCGUUGGCGUUGAUGGGACUCCACACUCGUUCGAUUGUUUCCAUUGAGAUUUAUGAGGUAUAUAUCAGUUUUACGUUAUUUAUACAUUUGAUUGAACUUUGAUAUAUACAUUGAUGUACUGUGUGUGCCAGCAUACCGAUCCAGGGAUGGCCCGGAUACACAGAGGCUUGACAGUUUGAGCUCGGGUCGCUACAGAGAUGGUAUGAGAGCACAUGUUGACUGUAGGACGUGACCCUAGAAACUGGAAAGCCCUUAGGAAAAGAUUUCUCUAAAAGUUUAUUUUCAAAAAGAUCCUUUACCUCUCUUCUUUUCUGAGCUUUAUCAAAUCUUCCCUUUUACCCCAAAUAGGUAGGCAAUAUCCCUUUUCCCUUUCACCACGAGGAGGAUCAACUGAUGAGACCACUCCGAGAAGGGCAAGAUAUCGGCCAACUGAUGGCCACUUCAAAGUAAAGAGGAUUUCAUCAUGCAUUAGAAUAGUUAAUGCUACGACAGUCGAAGACUCGAAGAAUUUGAAGACACUGAAGAAUUCCAAGAUUUAUAUGACCUUUAGAAGACCAAACCCUUGUUGUGUACUCACGUUAGAUGCGAUGAUUUGUGAGAUGUCAUAUUUGGUGUGUGUUUUCCGAUGCAACAAAUAAAAUUUAUUUUCAAAACUAUAUUGUUUGUAUUGUGUGUAUCUCUAUCUAUCCCUCUUAUCUCAUCCCAAAACCCUUGGACCCAAUAGAUGAUGAAUGAAGAUGGACUUGUAUUCUCUGGACCGAUCACUCAGUUAGAGGCAGAGCUAUGGAUUCAAAACAUGGAGAGUCACUUCGAGAGCAAUUUGGUUGCAAGGAAGUAUGAGGUUCAAUAUGCUCUUCAAUACUUUACAAAAAGUGCUACAACAUGGUGGAAAAUGCAUCAAGCCAUACAAGGAUGUAAUGGAGCAAAAACUUGGGAGGAAUUGAAGAAGACUCUAUUGGGAUCCCGUCUUAUCCGGAAGCACGGUGAUAAUCCGAUGAAGAAACCUUGUGCCUGCAAGAUAUGUGGAGAAAUAGGACACACCCAUGAAGAACACAAGGAUGGAUGCCCUCAUUAUGAAGGAAAUCACCCAGCGGAAGAGUGCCCAACUAGGCAGGUUACUUGUUACUUGUGUGAAGGAACUACGCACUACCCUGCCCAGUGUCAUAUUUACCCCAGGGUACAAGAAAUUACCAAGAACCAGAAGGAAGAAGUGAAAGAAGCCCUCAGGGAAAGUUUAAGAAAACUGGUGAUGAAAGAAGAUGUUGACGACCCUGAUGGAGAAAGCCUAAACAGAUUUUACUCCAAUGCUUGCUAUGCAUGUGGAGAAGAAGGACAUUUCUCACAAUAUUGCGUGAAGGAAAACCAAGAGUAUCUGGGAGACUUCCCGAUAGAAGAAGUGGGGUUUGAUAGACAAGAGAUAGAAGAAUUGAUCGGAACGAAGAAGUCGAGGAAGAGAAAGAGCAUGUAUCCCCAGAACAACCCAGUUUCUGCAGAAAAGGACCUGAGUCAUAUCACUUGUUACAGGUGCAAGGAUUUAGGUCAUUAUUCUAGCAAAUGCCCACCAAGGAAGCCAAGAACCCAAGGAGACAAGAUAACCACCAGGAACCCCUGGAUUUGUCUGACGCCAUUUGUCUACGCUGCAAAGGAGUAGGACAUUUUGUUAGAGAAUGUUCAGACCCGAGGAAAGCUAGAGCAGAGUAGUUGAGAUCUUGAUAUUGGAAUAAAGCAUGUAAUAAAUGUGGAACGCACUUUUAUUUUCGUGGGGGGUGUUGAUACGUCUCCAACGUAUCUAUAAUUUUUGAUUGCUCCAUGCUAUAUUAUCUACUGUUUUGGACUAUAUUGGGCUUUAUUUUCCACUUUUAUAUUAUUUUUGGGACUAACCUAUUAACCGGAGGCCCAGCCCAGAAUUACUGUUUUUUGCCUAUUUCAGUGUUUCGGAUAAACGGAAUAUCAAACGGAGUCCAAACAGAAUAAAAUCUUCGGGAACGUGAUUUUCUCACCAAACGUGAUCCAUGAGACUUGGACCCUGCCCUAAGGAACAAAAGAGGCGGUCACGAGGGUGGGGGGCGCCCCCCCUAGGGCGCGCCCCCCUGCCUCGUGGGCCCCUCGUUGCUCCUCGUGAAGGGUAACGUAGUAAUUUCAAAAAAUGUCCUACGCACAUGCAAGAUCAUGGUGAUGCAUAGCAACGAGAGUGGAGAGUGUGAUCUACGUACCCUUGUAGACCGACAACAGAAGCGUUAGCACAGCGCGGUUGAUGUAGUCGUACGUCUUCAUGGCCCGACCGAUCAAGCACCGAAACUACGACACCUCCGAGUUUUAGCACACAUUCAGCUCGAUGACGAUCCCCGGACUCCGAUCCAGCAAAGUGUCGGGGAAGAGUUCUGUCAGCACGACGGCGUGGUGACGAUCUUGAUGUACUAUCGUCGUAGGGCUUCGCCUAAGCACCGCUACAAUAUUAUCGAGGAUUAUGGUGGAAGGGGGCACCGCACACGGCUAAGAAUAUGAUCACGUGGAUCAACUCGUGCGUCUAGGGGUGCCCCCUGCCCCCAUAUAUAAAGGAUCAAGGGGAGGAGGCCGGCCGGCCCCUAUGGUGCGCCAAGGAGGAGUCCUCCUCCUAGUAGGAGUGGGACUCCUACUAGGAGGGGGAAAGAAGUGGGGAGGGAGAAGGAAAGGGGGGCGCCGCCCCCCCCCCUCUCCUAGUCCAAUUCGGACCAGGGGGAGGAGGCGCGCGGACCACCUUUGGCUGCCCCUCUCUCUCCACUAAGGCCCAUAUGGCCCAUUACUUCUCCCGGGAGGUUCCGGUAACACUCCGGCUCUCCGGUUUUCUCUGAAAUCACCCAGAACACUUCCGGUGUCCGAAUAUAGCCGUCCAAUAUAUCAAUCUUUAUGUCUCGACCAUUUCGAGACUCCUCGUCAUGUCCGUGAUCACAUCCGGGACUCCGAACUAACUUCGGUACAUCAAAACUCAUAAACUCAUAAUAUAACUGUCAUCGAAACCUUAAGCGUGCGGACCCUACGGGUUCGAGAACAAUGUAGACAUGACCGAGACACAUCUCUGGUCAAUAACCAAUAGCGGAACCUGGAUGCUCAUAUUGGCUCCUACAUAUUCUACGAAGAUCUUUAUCGGUCAGACCGCAUAACAACAUACGUUGUUCCCUUUGUCAUUGGUAUGUUACUUGCCCGAGAUUCGAUCGUCGGUAUCUCAAUACCUAGUUCAAUCUCGUUACCGACAAGUCUCUUUACUCGUUCCGUAAUACAUCAUCUCGCAACUAACUCAUUAGUUGCAAUGCUUGGAAGGCUUAUGUGAUGUGCAUUACCGAGAGGGCCCAGAGAUACCUCUCCGACAAUCGGAGUGACAAAUCCUAAUCUCGACAUACGCCAACCCAACAUGUACCUUUGGAGACACCUGUAGAGUACCUUUAUAAUCACCCAUUUACGUUGUGACGUUUGGUAGCACACAAAGUGUUCCUUCGACAAACGGGAGUUGCAUAAUCUCAUAGUCAUAGGAACAUGUAUAAGUCAUGAAGAAAGCAAUAGCAACAUACUAAACAAUCGGGUGCUAAGCUAAUGGAAUGGGUCAUGUCAAUCAGAUCAUUCACCUAAUGAUGUGAUCCCGUUAAUCAAAUAACAACUCUUUGUUCAUGGUUAGGAAACAUAACCAUCUUUGAUUAACGAGCUAGUCAAGUAGAGGCAUACUAGUGACACUCUGUUUGUCUAUGUACUCACACAUGUAUUAUGUUUCCGGUUAAUACAAUUCUAGCAUGAAUAAUAAACAUUUAUCAUGAUAUAAGGAAAUAAAUAAUAACUUUAUUAUUGCCUCUAGGGCAUAUUUCCUUCAGUCUCCCACUUGCACUAGAGUCAAUAAUCUAGAUUACACAGUAAUGAUUCUAACACCCAUGGAGCCUUGGUGCUGAUCAUGUUUUGCUCGUGGAAGAGGCUUAGUCAACGGGUCUGCAACAUUCAGAUCCGUAUGUAUCUUGCAAAUCUCUAUGUCUCCCACCUGGACUAGAUCCCGGAUGGAAUUGAAGCGUCUCUUGAUGUGCUUUGUUCUCUUGUGAAAUCUGGAUUCCUUUGCCAAGGCAAUUGCACCAGUAUUGUCACAAAAGAUUUUCAUUGGACCCGAUGCACUAGGUAUGACACCUAGAUCGGAUAUGAACUCCUUCAUCCAGACUCCUUCAUUUGCUGCUUCCGAAACAGCUAUGUACUCCGCUUCACAUGUAGAUCCCGCCACAACGGUUUGUUUAGAACUGCACCAACUGACAGCUCCACCAUUUAAUGUAAACACGUAUCCGGUUUGCGAUUUAGAAUCGUCCGGAUCAGUGUCAAAGCUUGCAUCAACGUAAACUUUUACGAUGAGCUCUUUGUCACCUCCAUAUAUGAAAAACAUAUCCUUAGUCCUUUUCAGGUAUUUCAGGAUGUUCUUGACCGCUGUCCAGUGAUCCACUCCUGGAUCACUUUGGUACCUCCGUGUUAAACUUAUAGCAAGGCACACAUCAGGUCUGGUACACAUCAUUCCAUACAUGAUAGAGCCUAUGGCUGAAGCAUAGGGAACAUCUUUCAUUUUCUCUCUAUCUUCUGCAGUGGUCGGGCAUUGAGUCUUACUCAACUUCACACCUUGUAACACAGGCAAGAACCCUUUCUUUGCUUGAUCCAUUUUGAACUUCUUCAAAAACUUUGUCAAGGUAUGUGCUUUGUGAAAGUCCAAUUAAGCGUCUUGAUCUAUCUCUAUAGAUCUUAAUGCCUAAUAUGUAAGCAGCUUCACCGAGUUCUUUCAUUGAAAAACUCUUAUUCAAGUAUCCCUUUAUGCUAUCCUGAAAUUCUAUAUCAUUUCCAAUUAGUAAUAUGUCAUCCACAUAUAAUAUCAGAAAUGCUACGGAGCUCCCACUCACUUUCUUGUAAAUACAGGCUUCUCCAAAAGUCUGUAUAAAACCAAAUGCUUUGAUCACACUAUCAAAGCGUUUAUUCCAACUCCGAGAGGCUUGCACCAGUCCAUAAAUGGAUCGCUGGAGCUUGCACACUUUGUUAGCUCCCUUUGGAUCGACAAAACCUUCUGGUUGCAUCAUAUACAACUCUUCUUCCAGAAAUCCAUUCAGGAAUGCAGUUUUGACAUCCAUCUGCCAAAUUUCAUAAUCAUAAAAUGCGGCAAUUGCUAACAUGAUUCGGAUAGACUUAAGCAUCGCUACAGGUGAGAAGGUCUCAUCGUAGUCAAUCCCUUGAACUUGCCGAAAACCUUUUGCGACAAGUCGAGCUUUGUAGACAGUAAUAUUACCGUCAGUGUCAGUCUUCUUCUUAAAGAUCCAUUUAUUCUCAAUUGCUUGCCGAUCAUCGGGCAAGUCAACCAAAGUCCAUACUUUGUUCUCAUACAUGGAUCCCAUCUCAGAUUUCAUGGCUUCAAGCCAUUUUGCGGAAUCUGGGCUCAUCGUCGCUUCUUCAUAGUUCGUAGGUUCAUCAUGAUCUAGUAGCAUGACUUCCAGAACAGGAUUACCGUACCACUCUGGUGCGGAUCUCACUCUGGUUGAUCUACGAGGUUUAGUAGUAUCUUGUUCUGAAGUUUCAUGAUCAUCAUCAUUAGCUUCCUCACUAACUGGUGUAGGUCUCACAGAAACAGUUUUCUAUGAUGCACUACUUUCCAAUAAGGGAGCAGGUACAGUUACCUUGUCAAGUUCUACUUUCCUCCCACUCACUUCUUUCGAGAGAAACUCCUUCUCUAGAAAGUUUCCGAACUUAGCAACAAAAGUCUUGCCUUCAGAUAUGUGAUAGAAGGUGUAUCCAAUAGUCUCCUUUGGAUAUCCUAUGAAGACACAUUUCUCCGAUUUGGGUUCGAGCUUAUCAGGUUGAAGCUUUUUCACAUAAGCAUCACAGCCCCAAACUUUCAGAAACGACAACUUUGGUUUCUUGCCAAACCAUAGUUCAUAAGGCGUCGUCUCAACGGAUUUUGAUGGUGCCCUAUUUAACAUGAAUGCGGCCGUCUCCAAAGCAUGACCCCAAAAUGAUAGCGGUAAAUCAGUAAGAGACAUCAUAGAUCACACCAUAUCUAGUAAAGUACGAUUACGACGUUCGGACACACCAUUACGCUGUGGUGUUCCGGGUGGCGUGAGUUGCGAAACUAUUCCGCAUUGUUUCAAAUGUACACCAAACUCGUAACUCAAAUAUUCUCCUCCACGAUCAGAUCGUAGAAACUUUAUUUUCUUGUUAUGAUGAUUUUCAACUUCACUCUGAAAUUCUUUGAACUUUUCGAACGUUUCAGAAUUAUGUUUCAUUAAGUAGAUAUACCCAUAUCUCCUUAAGUCACCUGUGAAGGUGAGAAAAUAACGAUAUCCGCCACGAGCCUCAAUAUUCAUCGGACCACAUACAUCUGUAUGUAUGAUUUCCAACAAAUCUGUUGCUCUCUCCAUAGUACCAGAGAACGGUGUUUUAGUCAUCUUGCCCAUGAGGCACAGUUCGCAAGUACCAAGUGAUUCAUAAUCAAGUGGUUCCAAAAGUCCAUCAGUAUGGAGUUUCUUCAUGCGCUUUAGACCGAUAUGACCUAAACGGCAGUGCCACAAAUAAGUUGCACUAUCAUUAUCAACUCUGCAUCUUUUGGCUUCAACACUAUGAAUAUGUGUGUCACUACUAUCGAGAUUCAAUAAAAAUAGACCACUCUUUAAGGGUGCAUGACCAUAAAAGAUAUUACUCAUAUAAAUAGAACAACCAUUAUUCUCAGAUUUAAAUGAAUAACCGUCUCGCAUCAAACAAGAUCCAGAUAUAAUGUUCAUGCUUAACGCUGGCACCAAAUAACAAUUAUUUAGGUCUAAUAUUAAUCCCGAAGGUAGAUGUAGAGGUAGCGUGCCGACUGCGAUCACAUCGACUUUGGAACCGUUUCCCACGCGCAUCGUCACCUCGUCCUUAGCCAAUCUUCGCUUAAUCCGUAGUCCCUGUUUCGAGCUGCAAAUAUUAGCAACAGAACCAGUAUCAAAUACCCAGGUGCUACUGCGAGCAUUGGUAAGGUACACAUCAAUAACAUGUAUAUCACAUAUACCUUUGUUCACCUUGCCAUCCUUCUUAUCCGCCAAAUACUUGGGGCAGUUCCGCUUCCAGUGACCAGUCUGCUUGCAGUAGAAGCACUCAGUUUCAGGCUUAGGUCCAGGUUUGGGUUUCUUCUCUUGAGUAGCAACUUGCUUGCUGUUCUUUUUGAAGUUCCCCUCCUUCUUCCCUUUGCCCUUUUUCUUGAAACUAGUGGUCUUGUUGACCAUCAACACUUGAUGCUCCUUCUUGAUUUCUACCUCCGCAGCUUUCAGCAUUGCGAAGAGCUCGGGAAUAGUCUUAUUCAUCCCUUGCAUAUUAUAGUUCAUCACGAAGCUCUUGUAGCUUGGUGGCAGUGAUUGGAGAAUUCUGUCAAUGAUGCAAUCAUCUGGAAGAUUAACUCCCAAUUGAAUCAAGUGAUUAUUAUACCCAAACAUUUUGAGUAUAUGUUCACUGACAGAACUGUUCUCCUCCAUCUUGCAGCUAUAGAACUUAUUGGAGACUUCAUAUCUCUCAAUCCGGGCAUUUGCUUGAAAUAUUAACUUCAACUCCUGGAACAUCUCAUAUGCUCCAUGACGUUCAAAACGUCGUUGAAGUCCCGAUUCUAAGCCGUAAAGCCUGGCACACUGAACUAUCGAGUAGUCAUCAGCUUUGCUCUGCCAGACGUUCAUAACAUCUGUUGUUGCUCCAGCAGCAGGCCUGGCACCCAGCGGUGCUUCUAGGACGUAAUUCUUCUGUGCAGCAAUGAGGAUAAUCCUCAAGUUACGGACCCAGUCCGUGUAAUUGCUACCAUCAUCUUUCAACUUUGCUUUCUCAAGGAACGCAUUAAAAUUCAAUGGAAUAAUAGCACGAGCCAUCUAUCUACAAUCAAGCAUAAACAAGCAAGAUACUAUCAGGUACUAAGUUUCAUGAUAAAUUUAGGUUCAAUUAAUUUACUUAAAGAACUCCCACUUAGAUAGACAUCCCUCUAAUCCUCUAAGUGAUUAUGUGAUCCAAAUCAACUAAACCAUGUCCCAUCAUCACGUGAGAUGGAGUAGUUUCAUUGGUGAACAUCACUAUGUUGAUCAUAUCUACUAUAUGAUUCACGAUCGACCUUUCGGUCUCCGUGUUCCGAGGCCAUAUCUGUAUAUGCUUGGCUCGUCAAGUAUAACCUGAGUAUUCCGCGUGUGCAACUGUUUUGCACCCGUUGUAUUUCAACGUAGAGCCUAUCACACCCGAUCAUCACGUGGUGUCUCAGCAUGAAGAACUUCCGCAACGGUGCAUACUCAGGGAGAACACUUCUUGAUACUUAGUGAGAGAUCAUCUUAUAAUGCUACCGUCAAACAAAGCAAGAUAAGAUGCAUAAAAGAUAAACAUCACAUGCAAUCAAUAUAAGUGAUAUGAUAUGGCCAUCAUCAUCUUGUGCUUGUGAUCUCCAUCUUUGAAGCACCGUCGUGAUCACCAUCGUCACCGGCGCGACACCUUGAUCUCCAUCGUAGCAUCGUUGUCAUCUCGCCAAUCUUAUGCUUCCACGACUAUCGCUACCGCUUAGUGAUAAAGUAAAGCAUUACAGCACGAUUGCAUUGCAUACAAUAAAGCGACAACCAUAUGGCUCCUGCCAGUUGCCGAUAACUCGGUUACAAAACAUGAUCAUCUCAUACAAUAAAAUUUAGCAUCAUGUCUUGACCAUAUCACAUCACAACAUGCCCUGCAAAAACAAGUUAGACGUCCUCUACUUUGUUGUUGCAAGUUUUACGUGGCUGCUACGGGCUUAAGCAAGAACCAAUCUUACCUACGCAUCAAAACCACAACGAUAGUUUGUCAAGUUGGUGUUGUUUUAACCUUCGCAAGGACCGGGCGUAUCCACACUCGGUUCAACUAAAGUAGGAGAAACUGUCACCCGCAAGCCACCUAUGUGCAAAGCACGUUGGGAGAACCGGUCUCGCGUAAGCGUGCGCAUAAUGUCGGUCCAGGCCGCUUCGUCCAACAAUACCGCCGAACCAAAGUAUGACAUGCUAGUAAGCAGUAUGACUUAUAUCGCCCACAACUCACUUGCGUUCUACUCGUGCAUAUAACAUCAACAUAUAAAACCUAGGCUCGGAUGCCACUGAAGGGUAACGUAGUAAUUUCAAAAAAUUUCCUACGCACACGCAAGAUCAUGGUGAUGCAUAGCAACGAGAGGGGAGAGUGUGAUCUACGUACCCUUGUAGACCGACAGCGGAAGCGAUAGCACAACGCGGUUGAUGUAGUCGUACGUCUUCACGGCCCGACCGAUCAAGCACCGAAACUACGGCACCUCCGAGUUUUAGCACACGUUCAGCUCGAUGACGAUCCCCGGACUCCGAUCCAGCAAAGUGUCGGGGAAGAGUUCCGUCAGCACGACGACGUGGUGACGAUCUUGAUGUACUAUCGUCGCCGGGCUUCGCCUAAGCACCGCUACAAUAUUAUCGAGGAUUAUGGUGGAAGGGGGCACCGCACACGGCUAAGAAUAUGAUCACGUGGAUCAACUUGUGUGUCUAGGGGUGCCCCCUGCCCCCGUAUAUAAAGGAUCAAGGGGAGGAGGCCGGCCGGCCCCUAUGGCGCGCCAAGGAGGAGUCCUCCUCCUAGUAGGAGUCCUACUCCUACUAGGAGGGGGAAAGAAGUGGGGAGGGAGAAGGAAAGGGGGGCGCCGCCCCCCUCUCCUAGUCCAAUUCGGACCAGGGGGAGGAGGCGCGCGGCCCACCUUUGGCUGCCCCUCUCUCUCUCCACUAAGGCCCAUAUGGCCCAUUACUUCUCCCGGGGGGGUUCCGGUAACCCUCCGGCUCUCCGGUUUUCUUUGAAAUCACCCGAAACACUUCCGGUGUCCGAAUAUAGCCGUCCAAUAUAUCAAUCUUUAUGUCUCGGCCAUUUUGAGACUCCUCGUCAUGUCUGUGAUCACAUCCAGGACUCCGAACUAACUUCGGUACAUCAAAACUCGUAAACUCAUAAUAUAACUGUCAUCGAAACCUUAAGCGUGCGGACCCUACGGGUUCGAGAACAAUGUAGACAUGACCGAGACACGUCUCCGGUCAAUAACCAAUAGCGGAACCUGGAUGCUCAUAUUGGCUCCUACAUAUUCUAUGAAGAUCUUUAUCGGUCAGACCGCAUAACAACAUACGUUGUUCCCUUUGUCAUCGGUAUGUUACUUGCCCGAGAUUCGAUCGUCGGUAUCUCAAUACCUAGUUGAAUCUCGUUACCGGCAAGUCUCUUUACUCAUUCCGUAAUACAUCAUCUCGCAACUAACUCAUUAGUUGCAAUGCUUGCAAGGCUUAUGUGAUGUGCAUUACCGAGAGGGCCCAGAGAUACCUCUCCGACAAUCGGAGUGACAAAUCCUAAUCUCGAAAUACGCCAACCCAACAUGUACCUUUGGAGACACCUGUAGAGUACCUUUAUAAUCACCCAUUUACGUUGUGAAGUUUGGUAGCACACAAAGUGUUCCUCCGACAAACGGGAGUUGCAUAAUCUCAUAGUCAUAGGAACAUGUAUAAGUCAUGAAGAAAGCAAUAGCAACAUACUAAACGAUCGUGUGCUAAGCUAAUGGAAUGGGUCAUGUCAAUCAGAUCAUUCACCUAAUGAUGUGAUCCCGUUAAUCAAAUAACAACUCUUUGUUCAUGGUUAGGAAACAUAACCAUCUUUGAUUGACGAGCUAGUCAAGUAGAGGCAUACUAGUGACACUCUGUUUGUCUAUGUAUUCACACAUGUAUUAUGUUUCCGGUUAAUACAAUUCUAGCAUGAAUAAUAAACAUUUAUCAUGAUAUAAGGAAAUAAAUAAUAACUUUAUUAUUGCCACUAGGGCAUAUUUCCUUCACCUCCGGCGUACUUCUUCCUCGUAUAUAUACACAUGUACCCCCAAACAAUCAGAAGAGGAGCCAAAAACCUAAUUCCACCGCCGCAACUUUCUGUAUCAGAAGAGAUCCCAUCUUGGGGCCUGUUCCGGAGCUCCGCCAGAAGAGGGCCGUCAUCACGGAGGGCUUCUACAUCAUCCUAGCCGCUCCGAUGAAGUGUGAGUUGUUUACCUAUGACCUUCGGGUCCAUAGUUAGUAGCUAGAUGGCUUCUUCUCUCUCUUUGAAUCUGAAUACAAAGUUCUCCCCCUCUCUUGUGGAGAUCUAUUCGAUGUAAUCUUCUUUUUGCGGUGUGUUUGUUGAGACCGAUGAAUUGUGGGUUUAUGAUCAAGUCUAUCUAUGAAUAAUAUUUGAAUCUUCUCUGAAUUCUUUAUGUAUGAUUGGUUAUCUAUGCAAGUCUCUUCGAAUUGUCCGUUUGGUUUGGCCAACUAGAUUGGUAGUUCUUGCCAUGGGAGAAGUGCUUAGCUUUGGGUUCGAUCUUGCGGUGUCCUUACCCAGUGACAGAAGGGGCAGCAAGGCACGUAUUGUAUCGUUGCCGUCGAGGAUAACAAGAUGGGGUUUAUUUCAUAUUGCAUGAAUUUAUCUCUCUACAUCAUGUCAUCUUGCUUAAGGCGUUACUCUGUUUUUAACUUAAUACUCUAGAUGCAUGCUGGAUAGCGGUCGAUGAGUGGAGUAAUAGUAGUAGAUGCAGAAUCAUUUCGAUCUACAUGUCACGGACGUGAUGCCUAUAUACAUGAUCAUGCCUAGAUAUUCUCAUAACUAUGCUCAAUUCUGUCAAUUGCUCCACAAUAAUUUGUUCACCCACCAUAGAAUACUUAUGCUCUUGAGAGAAGCCACUAGUGAAACCUAUGGCCCUCGGGUCUAUUCUCAUCAUAUCAAUCUCCAUCACUUUAAAUCUUGCUUUGUUUUUACUUUGCUUUUACUUUUUAAUUUGCAUCUUUAUACCAAAAAUACCAAAAAUAUUAUAUCUAUCAGAUCUCAUUCUCGUAAGUGACCGUGAAGGGCUUGACAACCCCUAAUCGCGUUGGUUGCGAGUAGCGAUCGCUUUGUGCAGGUACGAGGGACUUGAGCGUGGGCUCCUACUGGAUUGAUACCUUGGUUCUCAAAAACUAAGGGAAAUAUUUACGCUACUCUGCUGCAUCAUCCCUUCCUCUUCGGGGAAAACCAACGCAAGCUCAAGAUGUAGCAGGUGUUGAGUUGAGUUACCGAAUGGAAAUUGUAAUAGCUCAUGAAGCAGUAAAAAUUGAGGUGUUUGGAAUCUCAUAUGAAAUGUUAUGAGUUGUUUGUUGAUUGUGAGUGCCUCUCUCACUAUGUCACCCAGACAUAAACCUUGAACCCAUGGACAAGUUGACCCCAAAACCUUCACUAAAAAACCACAUUUCACCCAAGGAAAUACAUGCAUUAUCCUAAGUACCCCUUCUAUCUUAUACCUGCAGAUGGCAACCCUUUACGAGUCUUUUCUCAAGGGCCCGGAAACGAUCAUGACCCUAACUAGUGAUCAGGAUUACCCAAAGAUCCUCAAGGACAUGAUGAAGCAUAUUCAUCUUGAAGGAGAUGCAGUCUACAAGGGUUAUCCUUUCAUGGAGAAUGGAGUUGAACUUUGGUACAUGGAAGUACACCUCCACCGUGUGAAGGGAGUUUUCCCAAAGACUAUGGGGCAAUACUUUUUCAUUUCUCGAGUACCCCGAGCAACAUUCUUCGACUCUGUUCGUGAAGCUGCUACGGAAGCCAUAUGUCAGAUUGGAGAAAUACUUGAAGCCAGACUUCGUUAUACUCAGGAAUACCCGAGGGAGGUGCAUGCAGUGAUGAUGGAGAUGAAGCUCAUGGCCACCAUGAUGAAGCAAAAGGUCGAUGAUUUCAAGGACCACAUUGUACAAUUCCAGUGGUACUAAAUUAUCUUCAAGAAGGGCAAAUGAAUAAAGAUGGAAGUAAUGCUUGACCAUACCAAACUAUGUGGAUGGCAGCUUUUUGUAAUAGAGUACUUUUGAAAUUUGAGUUUUGAGUAGUGGUUAAGGAUGUAAUAAAGGAUUUAAUAUGAAGAGAAUUGUGGAUGAACCGGUGCAUUUUUUUGGCGAUACCUGUCUGUGUGAACACUUGACCAAUGGAAAAGGAAAUGUAUUCCAUAGAGUGAAGUUUGGACAAAUGAGUUGGAGUUUGGUUUUAGUUAUGAUGGUUACCCCAAGAGUAUGAAUGAAUGAAGUACUAUUGGAUUUAAAGGAGAUGUAAUGUUGGAAUAUGGAACAAUAGUAACUCCAAGGAUGAGUUAAAGAUAUACAAGUGUUGAAAUGGGCCAUAACCCACAGGACCCAGGAUUUGAUAAGGAAACAAGCACAAUCUUGUUGAAGAAAAUAAUUCUGAAAGAAGCCAUGAUUUCAUCAGCAUAUUCAUAGGAGGUUACAUAAACCCAGGAGUUGUGAAUAAACGAUAGAGGUUUUCUUUGGCUUGCAGAACCAAUGGAUUUAUUCGAACCCAGUUCAUGGAGAAGAGAAGUUCUGCAAUGCUUGUGAGGAUGCCCAAGGGCUAGAAUGCGUGAUUCACUAUCUGCGUAUGUGGUACUGAUUCAAGUACGACAUGGAUUGGACCCCAUACCGGAGACUUCUAUCAUGAGCUAUCAUAUGAUUGAUAGAAAAUCAGAGAGCCUUAAAACCCUAGAAGAGUGUCGACACGACAAGCCAAAAGCCUUAGAAUGGCAGGAUGAUGGAAACCCUGUACAGGCACCUAUUGCCAAUCGUAGGUUAUGCAGUGAGGUUCAACCCAGACCCAUUUCCUGUAGGAGGAACCAGAAAUUGUCGACCACCAUGAGGUUUUCGAUAGUUGUUUAGCAUUGGCGCCAGACCUGUCAAGUCUCAGAAGGAUCCUAUUUUGAUGCAAGGACUCCUGAUUUUGAGGAAAAGGCCAUGCCCUUACCAGAAGAGCAAAAGUGAAGGUGUUAUCUCGGAGAAUAUGAGAAGACCGACACCGUCAACGCAAAGGAUGGAGUACAUGAGUUUUGUUGGAACUGUAACCAUGCUUCUAAGGGUGGUAGCACCCCAUUCCUUGUGUUGAUGAAUGGAUUUUCAAGGAGAACCCCCAAACCUAACAUUCUUUCUAGCCUCUUCGAAUCUCGAGGACGAUAUUCAUUUUAAGGGUGGUAGUUUGUAACAUCCCAAAAUUCUAAAUUUUGGAAUGUUAUGUUAAAUAAUUAAUUCUGAUUGUUUGUUUGUCGUGUGAUUGAUUGUGUGAAAAUGAUUGGAAAUUGAAAACUUUUUGAAAGUAGAAUGAGAGGGAAUAAAAGGACUUUCCCGAAACUUUUCAUCUUGCAUUUUGAUCUUCCUGAAUUCAAAUUCAUUACAUCAUAAAACCCUAGAGUGAAGAUAAUAUGACUUCUUCCAUUUAAAGAAAUGAAAAAAGGGGAUUGAAAAUGAUUUGAAUUCCAUUUGAAACAUUUUAAAUUUAGAAACUUUAAGCAACUCAAUGAGUUCAUGAGGGAAGAUAAAAUGACUUCUUCAAAUCGAUGGAAGAGAGUUGGAAGUUUCAAAGGAAUAAUUUGAAGUCACUUUGAAGUUAUUUGAAACUCAUUUUUCCAUUUGAAGUUGUUUGAAAUUCCAAAUUUCAAAUCCUCUUGGGAGUUAUUUAGUUUUAAUUCAAAUUAUUUUUCCCCUAAAAAUAAAUAGAUGGGAAUAAGGGUAAAAUGAUUCCCUUCAAUAGAAAAUUAGGAGAAAUAUAUCUGAAAUCAUUUUGCUAUUUAAAAAAUGAUUUUUAUUGAUUUUAAAUGCCAUAGUAGCACUGUUUGAAUUUUAUGAAUUUUUAUGGAAUUUAGUUGAACUUGAAAAAUAAUUCAUCUUAUUGCUGCUAUUUUUCUGAGCAUUUUCGUAUAUAAUAUUCCUACGUAAUUUUUUUAGUUAUUUUCCUAUGUUGAAGUUUUUGUUUCUGCAAAAAAAAACACGCGCCCGCCAGCCGGCCCAGGGCCUUCGGCCCAAGAGCCAGCUAGCGCACCGAGCCGGCCCAGCAGCGCCCCAGGCCGCCCCAGGCCUUACGCCUCGCUCGCCCGCGCCCCUCUUCCCUCGCUCGAUCUCUCCCACUGCCGCUGCCAGUGGGGCCCGCAACCCUCCGUCCCUAACCUCCCGCUCCUCCCGUUCAGUUAGGGCACGCGCGUGCCGCCCGCAACUGCCGGCAGCUCCGCUCGGGAUAGAGCUCAUCCGCAGUCUCCGCAGCCUCUUCUCGCGCCUAUAAAUUCCCUCGACUCCCUUCGUUCGAUUCUGCCAUUCCGCAACGAUCCACGCCGCUGACAGCCGCCGCCUUCGUCGUUUGGAUCUUGCCCGCCGGAGCUACCUCGCCGGUCCGUUCCGCCGCCCGUAAGACUUCCUCGACCCCGUUCUUCUUUUUCAAUUGACUCCCCGCGUCGAGGCGCAUCUGAUUGACAAAAUUUUGCCGCCUAGGUCGUACCAGAGACGCCGCCCCGACGCGUCGCGCUCUUGCCGAAGCACCGGAGCUCCGCCGCCUCCCUCCGCUCGUCGCUGGCCACCCCACCACCCGCCGACCCCACCAGCACGCCGCCCACGCCGCGCCUGACCUCCCUGACCCCUUCGUCGCCGCUGAGGACCACCAGAGACGCCGCCCUGUCCGCCGUCCGCCGCCUGACGCCAGCGGCGCCGCCCCUGUUCGCCGUCCUCGCUCGCUAUGAGCCGCUGAUCCUCGCUCAUUUUUUGUUGUUGUUGUAUUAGAUCGGGUAACCGUGGUUUUAUUAAACCGUGCGGUUUAGUAAAAAAAGGUCUCCGGUUUUCUUUUUAUUUAGCCACGGUAGCCGUUUUAUUUAUUCAGUGGCCGUCCGCAGUUUAGCCUGAGCCGCGAACGCUGCUCAGCCACCUGGAAGCCGCCACGUGGCCAGGGAUCUGGUCGUGAAUAAAACUUUCAUAGUCAAGUCCCCGAGUUUUCAAUUUAGCCCCUAAACUUCGAAUGGUUGUAUCUUUUUAACCGUAACUCCAAAUUCGACGAAACCAGUGGCAAAAUGUUCGUCUCGAAUAGUUUUAUCCAGAGAACCAACUUUGAAAACUUCUGGCCAAAUUCAAAUUUGAACUUUAUUCAGAUUUGAAUUCAAACUUCAACUGGCCAUAUCUCUUAAACCGUAGAUCCGAUUGGUGUGAUUCUUUUUGCAACGUGUCAUCAUAGCCAAACCCUACCACCUGGACCUUGUCACAAUACUUUUCACACAACUAGAAUCUGUCUAUGAUAGUUUUACUAUUAUGCCAUGCAUGCACUUUAGUACACAUCACAGUUUUGAACCCCAUGUCACAAGUUGUUUUGCACUUAGGAUAUUUCCAUGCUAGUUAACUGUGUUGAAUGUUCAUUUGGUUUUUCUGAGACUUUGGGCUUUGCAUGUUCUUCUUGGUUAUCUGAAAUGAUUGCUGAGAGUGACGAAUAGUUCUAUGAAGUAAAUUUCUGAGAGUGGUAUAAUCUUCAUCAACUAUUACCAGGCAACUUCACAUUUGACCAUUUUUCCAAUUACCUAUGUUUAUAUUAUGCACUUAGUCCUUUUGUGGUAGGAUUGCAUGGUAGGAUUUAUUGUUUCCAGAUGGCUAUGCCGUUACCUAGUAGUUCAUUUGAGGUAGGUAUGAUCUAUACAUCCUUGUCACCACCGUGUAAGUUUAUUUUUGCCUCUCUAAAUGUAGACGUGGUUUGGGAAGCGAAAAUGGCGAGACAUGAGUGACAAAGUAGUAAUCAAGACCAAGACAUGUAAAUGAACUACCUGGGCGGUAUUUGGUUUGAAUGGUGGCGAAGUACAGUGAGAGCAUGCAUGGUUAAUCCAUGGUGGUGCACCACUAGUGGUUGGCCGCUCAGGCUCAAAGAGAUGAAUCGUAUUCUCAUGUCUAGAAGCUUAUGUGUGCAGCCACAAGCCAAUAUGGGCUCUAGCUUAGUUGAGUAGUUAGUGUGACCUCUUCCGGGAUGGGCUAGCAGAUGUAGAAUGAUGUAGGUGUACCGGCCUAUCCGUGGGUUAAGGGGAACAUUUUCGAAAGACUAUGUCUCGGUCAUCCUGUUCUCAAACGCCAGGUAGUGCGAGAACUCCAGGGGAGGCGAUCGAGUCUUGUGGGGAAAAGUGCGCAAACCUCUGCAGUGUUAAAACCUAAUCGAUUAGCCGUGUCACCGGUUACGGAAAACUUGAGAAUCUAGUAGUGGAAAUGCUGGGAGAUCUCAUCACUCUUAAUUAAACAAUUGGGUUUUAAAUGAAACUUUGGGAAUGGAUUGAGUUGGGUUUGCCAACUCAUCCUAUGCUAUACUAUAGUGAUAGACUAAUAUCUUUUAUUCUAGGGAAAAACUAGCUUUAUGCAAAAACUAAACUUAGGGCUUUCCACCAGCCAAAUUGCAUGUACAAAUAGGUUCAUUAUUCUUAUGAUGUGACUUACCAGUACAUUCA
rnacentral:lncRNA from 1 species